AAUAUUGAAUGAUCCGAAUGUUUACUUUGAACACGAUCACUUAGAGUCGCACAUUGCGCUCUUUUCCUCUCCCACAGCCUCCGUCUCUCUACGCUUCCCUCCUUGUUUCCUACAGCUUUCACGGAAUGAUCUAAAUCCAUUCCAAGCCAAGACGGUUACCUUAAAGGAGUUUUUUUGACGGACAACCCUCUUGGGAUUUGAUUCUAUUCAGUUUGAUUAUUUUUCCUGACCCGGUGUUUGAGCUGAGGUGGUGGAGAACCGUGGAAAGAUACUACAGGUGAAUUGCGCUUUCACGACGCUGCGGUAGAGAUGAUUGAACAGUUUACGGGUUACACGAGUGCAGUCUGUGCCUAAUUAGACAGCAACCGAGUUUUUCUGGCACUUUGUGAUAACUGAAGCGGACCAAGUUAGGGUUUUGAACGUAUCAAAAGAAAAAAAAAAAAAUCUCCACUGGGUUUCCUAAAGGAUGAUAUGACCUUUUCUUUUGCGCAGUGGUGGCUGCUUUCCUAUCAGUUUGUUGGAUUUUUGUCAUGCCUUUUUGCAGGAUUUCACACGGAGAUAUGAGCGCACAAAGAAAUCGAGUUGGAUUGUAAAAAGAUAGAAAAAAAAAAUCGUUUUAAAAAUAUCCUUGCUUUAUAUUUUUCUUCUCCAAAGCGGGGAGUGCUUUGUGGUAAUCAAUGGCUUCGGUACCGAGGUCGGCAAGGCGCAAAGAUGCCACUCGAUGGCCGAGGAUGUCGUCAACUUUUUGGGUUGUGGUGCUCCUGACUGCGCUGUUGGUUCUCUACUGCGGCCAGCUGGCAGCGGGGACAUGUGAGAUUGUGACGUUGGACAGGGACAGCAGCCAACCGAGACGGACCAUCGCCAGGCAGACGGCUCGCUGCGCCUGUAAGAAGGGCCAGAUCGCCGGAACUACAAGAGCCAGACCCGCCUGCGUGGACGCUGGGAUUGUUCGAAAAAGGCAGUGGUGUGAGAUGGUGCCGUGUUUGGAGGAUGAAGGCUGUGACCUGUUAAUCAAUAAAUCUGGAUGGACUUGUACACAGCCUGGAGGCCGAGUCAAAACCACCACGGCUCUAUGACGCGACAAGAGUUUCCCUCAACACUCUUGCACUAUGGAGAGCAUUGAUGACCCCUUGACAGACAGCCAAAACCCACCCACCCACCAACACCACCACCACCAACACAACAGCAGAUCUACUCGUACCCUGGUGCCACAAAGGCAGGACAAGCAGUCACAGAGCACCAAGGGCCUCUUUGAGGCAGCAAGAUAAGUGUUGGAGAAGAGACCAAUAUGACAUUCAUAUAGAAGAUGAGAUUGAAGCAACCCUACUGUUUGAAAGAAAAAAAACAAGGUGUCUUAACACAGCCAGAGGUGCCAUUACACAGGAGUGACUGAAUGAGGGACUUUGCUCUCCCACGGAAUACCGGACAAACUCUCUAUUAAACACUUCCCGCCUCCUGUGACUCGCACUUCCGGGUUUCCGACUGCUCCAACCCGCCGUCUGUCACCGGGUCAGCGCCUUUUCUCCUCGUCACUGCAUCUGCCUGUUCAAUGAAAACUUUUAAGCCGCGGAGGACCAGACACCUUAAAAUACUUUUUUUUGUUCAUUGGAAAUCCACUUUUAAGGAGCCGCUUGCUGCAUUUAAAAAGGGAUUCCCCAACCUUCCCACCACCGCCACCUCUCCAAGUUGUUUCUGUAGUGCAGGAGUUUCCAGAGCACAGCUGGGAUCAUUACAGACCGAACGCUGUUGCUUCGGACCACUUGACGAGGCCAUAAAAACCAAACUCUGCGCUCUCUGCUGUGAAUAGGCCUUCUGCUGGAGUGAAACUCCUUUAUUUUUAUAGACCAAAGAGCAAAACAACAAAUAUGAUCAUUACGACAGAGGUGGCAAAAGACACAUAUUCCUCGUGGGGUUUCUACAAAAUCACUACAAGAACAAUCAAAUCAAAGUCCUUUUAAAACCUUCUGGACAUUGUUUUUUUUUCCUCUGACUGAAGCCCACAACUUGUAUUUUGGAACUGGAAAUAUAGGUACUGCAUACGUAUAACUAUGUAUCAAAAAAAAAAAAAAAAAAAACACAAAAUCAGAUUUGUGAUUUUUUUCAGUAGCUAUGGUUUUGGACAGAACUGUCACAGGAAUCACAUCAAAGGAAAUGCUAGAUACACGGACAGUAUGGAUGCCGUUGAUUCAGAACAGAAGGAGCUAAGAAUUGCCAUUAAAUGUAUUUUGAAAGGCCCUUAAAAGUUAUAUAUUUAACAAUUUUAUAUGUUGUACCUUUGUAGAGAAGCUUAUUGGACUUAAAUGUGGUCACAAUGGCAGUUUAGUAGAACGUGAACAAAUGCUGUUCUCAUUACUGCUGGCUCGUAGUCUAUGGUUUUCUGUUCACACCCCAGUAGCUGCUUUCUUUUUAUGGUCAUCUACAAGUCAGUCUUUUUAGAACCAUUAAUGACAAAAAAAGGAAAGUGACACAAUUUCUUGAGGACUGAUGUGCAGCAAACAGAACAUUGUAAAUCUAUGGUAGUCAGUGGAAGCCAUUGAAAUCUGCUAAUUUGCUAUGAUAUUGUAUUGUACACAAUGUGGAAUACUGAUUAAUUUCCUCUCUAUGGGUUUUGAUCUCUUAAUUUAUUUUGGUGCUUGUGUUCGUUCGCACAAAUCCAGCCUCUCUCUGUUGGUAAUCUGGACAAUGGAGGAAGCAGAGAGGAACAAUACGGAAAGGAAGCACUGCAAACAUAGUCAUAUAAAUACAUUUUUUAUCAUGAAAUAUUUUAAGAAUAAAUUAAAUACAUGGAAAAAUG